rnacentral:lncRNA from 1 species
CCCCCCAUUCCCCUACCCUCUUGGCCGCCCCUCCCAUCUCCUCCUUUCUCAAGCACUUGCAGCCACACAUCAAACCCUAGCCACCCCCCAUCUCCUCCUCCCAUGGUGCCAUUCGUUGCCGCUCGGAUCUCCGUCGCGUGGUGCAAAUCUUCAACGGUUUUCGGUGGAGGGAGGAAGGGAGGAAGAAAAGGGAGAGAACCCAAGGUGAUUUUUGUGUUUAUCUCUUAUUCAUUUUAUGCAGCAAUCCAAUUGUUUAGAUGUUGCGUGUGCGAUUUGGUAGAAGGGCUGUCCAGAAUUUUAAGGGGGUGGACGAACAACAGCAGAAUUAGUGAUUUCUGGGCAUUUUUCGUGGAAAAUUAAGGGGAAUCAGUUUGGGAAUCAUGUAGAACUUUGGCAUACCUUUCCAACGAGUAUUUAUGCACUCAAUUUUGAGUUAUAAAUUAAAAGUUAUCACCGUUUGAAACCGGGUAGGUGGCUGUCCAAAAAAACAGAUUUUCAGGGGGAUGAACAGCAGCAGUAUUAGCAGUUUCUGGGGAUUUUUCGGGAGUAAUUAGUGUUAAUCAGUAUGAGAAUCAUGUAGGGAUUUAUGUUAUCUUUCCAACAAGUACUUAUGCGCUCGAUUCGGAGUUAUAAUUUAGGAGAUAUCGUUGUUUGAAUCCGGUUAUGCUGCUGUCCAAAAAAAACAGAUUUUUCAGGUGGGUGAACAGCAGUGGUAUUAGCAGUUUCUGGGAAUUUUUCUUGGGUAAUUAGUGUUAACCAGUAUGAUAAUCAUGUAGGGAUUUGUCUUAUCUUUCCAAUGAGUACUUAUGCGCUUGAUUUGGAAUUAUAUUUUAAAAGAUAUCGCUGUUUGAAACCAGGUAUGUCGCUGUCCAAAAGACAAAGGAAAACAGAUUACAGGGUUCAUCUUGUGGACUGUUUUGGGCUAAUUAGAUAUUGAAAUUUAAUUAUAAAUUGUAUACAAAACUUGUUGGAAUUUUAUGUACAUGUCUCUGGAGUUUUUGUUUGUUACCACUGCUGUCAUAAUUUUAAAGUUAUGAAAUUAUUAAGCAGCGCCGCUGCAGUUUGGUGGGUGUAGGGAGAGAUGUAACCCGCGGCGGGGUUUGAGUUUGUGCAUAGGUGCGGCGUCGCUUAUGAGCCUAAUUAUGUGAAAUUGGUGCACUAAGUUGGGUGUCAAAAACAGGUGGUGCACUUCCGGAUCGUACUUAGGGAUUUGCCCGAACUUCCGGUAAAGGCAAGUAAAUACAGUGGUGGUUGCUACCGUUUGGUUUGCAUCCUAUUCCCUGUCAUUGAGUAUGCAUAAGUUUUAAUUAUAUUAAUCAUUGAAUUCUAUGAUGAAGUUUAUUUGUUUGGAAGUAUUAAUUCUCAAUUGUCUAAUAUUGUGGAUGAUCAUAAUUUGGUAAUGAUAUAUGUGGUUGAUUCCCAUCUUGGAUGAAGUUGAAAUAUCUUUUUGAAUCAUGUUAUAUGAAGUGUUGUAGGCAUGACAUGCACAUCGCAUCAUCCAUCUUGCAUUUUGAAGUUAUGUCGUGAUCUUAUGGUCCGACCGUACCAGUACAUUUUUAGCAUCGUACGUUGCCCGAGGAGGGGUACGAUGUGACUCCAUAUCCUUAGUGGUAUGAAGGCAGAAGUCAUCCUUGCAUUUGCAGACAUUUGCACUCAUGAGGAAUAUAUGAAGUGUGACAUUACUAUGUUACUAUUGUGGUUUCUACCUGCGAGGUGUGGUAACUAGGUGUGUUGUACGUUGUAUACGUGUUGCACCUUCAUAAUAAGAAGGUUGUGGAAUCAAGUGGUGGUAAAACAAUGUUCUUAUGUGGUUAAACUGUUUGAUAUUAUUUUACUUGCUGAGAUGUGUCAUCUCACUCUUGUAUUACUCAAUGCAGGUACUUGAUACAUGUUGGGAAUGAGGAGAGUAGCAGCACGUCCACUUUUACUCUCACAAUAACGCUGCCCAGGCGCAUCCAUGAUUUAAUUAGAAACUUAUUAUCAAAGGAAGUUUGUUUUCU